CCUAGGGGCGCAGCAGUGAGGAAUAUUGGUCAAUGGGCGAGAGCCUGAACCAGCCAAGUCGCGUGAGGGAAGACGGUCCUAUGGAUUGUAAACCUCUUUUGCCGGGGAGCAAAAAGCGGUACGUGUACCGCAUCGAGAGUACCCGGAGAAAAAGCAUCGGCUAACUCCGUGCCAGCAGCCGCGGUAAUACGGAGGAUGCGAGCGUUAUCCGGAUUUAUUGGGUUUAAAGGGUGCGUAGGCGGUUUGUCAAGUCAGCGGUAAAAAUUCCGGGCUCAACCCGGUCCCGCCGUUGAAACUGGCGAACU
rnacentral:rRNA from 1 species